rnacentral:rRNA from 1 species
CGACGAGGUAGAUAGGCUGGGGGUGGAAGUGCAGCAAUGCAUGGAGCUGACCAGUACUAAUCGGUCGAGGGCUUAUCCA